UACGGAGGGUGCAAGCGUUAUCCGGAUUCACUGGGUUUAAAGGGUGCGUAGGUGGGCAGGUAAGUCAGUGGUGAAAUCUCCGGGCUUAACUCGGGAACUGCCGUGGAUACUAUUAGUCUUGAAUAUCGUGGAGGUAAGCGGAAUAUGUCAUGUAGCGGUGAAAUGCUUAGAUAUGACAUAGAACACCGAUAGCGGAGGCAGCUUACUACGCGAUUAUUGACACUGAGGCACGAAAGCGUGGGGAUCAAACAGGA
rnacentral:rRNA from 1 species